AUUGAACGCUGGCGGCAGGCCUAACACAUGCAAGUCGAACGAGUGGCGGACGGGUGAGUAAUGUCUGGGAAACUGCCUGAUGGAGGGGGAUAACUACUGGAAACGGUAGCUAAUACCGCAUACCAACAGGUGUGCCCAGAUGGGAUUAGCUUGUUGGGGGGGUAACGGAUCCACCAGGCGACGAGCCCUAGCUGGUCUGAGAGGAUGACCAGCCACACUGGAACGGAGAAACGGUCCAGACUCCUACGGGAGGAAGCAGUGGGGAAUAUUGCACAAUGGGCGCAAUCCUGAUGCAGCCAUGCCGCGUGUAUGAAGAAGGCCUUCGGGUUGUAAAGUACUUUCAGCGGGGAGGCGUUACCCGCAGAAGAAGCACCGGCUAACUCCGUGCCAGCCGCCGCGGUAAUAC
rnacentral:rRNA from 1 species